rnacentral:rRNA from 1 species
CCAAGCGUAUACGGGCACACGACGGAUGCCUUGGCAUCACGAGGCGAUGAAGGACGCGGCAAGCUGCGAAAAGCCCCGGGGAGCGGCAAGCUCGCUCAGAUCCGGGGGUGUCCGAAUGGGGCAACCCCGCACCCGUCAUGGGGUGCGAUCCCGCGCUGAACACAUAGGCGCGAGGAGGCGACACCGGGGGAAGUGAAACAUCUCAGUACCCCGAGGAAGAGAAAUCAACAGAGACUGCGCAAGUAGUGGCGAGCGAACGCGCAAGAGCCCAAACCGGACGGUUCACCGUCCGGGGUUGCGGGACCGCGGCGCGGCACGCGCGCGGCGAGGCGAACGGCCUGGAAAGGCCGGCGGCACAGGGUGACAGCCCCGUAGCCGGAAGCCUGCGCGCGGCCUAGCGGUAUCCCGAGUAAGGCGGGACACGUGAAACCCUGCCCGAAUCCGGGGGGCCCACCCUCCAAGGCUAAGUACUCCGUGAUGACCGAUAGUGGACAAGUACCGCGAGGGAAAGGUGAAAAGAACCCCUGCUAGGGGAGUGAAAGAGACCUGAAAUCGUGUGCCCACAAGCUAUGGCGGCGUCCUUCGGGACGUUGCCGUUUGCCUUUUGCAUAAUGAGUCCGCGAGUCACCCUGUGCGGCGAGGUUAACCGAAAGGGGAGCCGCAGCGAAAGCGAGUCCUAACCGGGCGCCGCAGUCGCACGGGGUGGACCCGAAGCCCGGCGAGCUACCCAUGGCCAGGAUGAAGCCCCCGUAACAGGGGGUGGAGGUCCGAACGAGUCUCCGUUGAAAAGGGGUUCGAUGAGCUGUGGGUUGGAGUGAAAGGCUUAUCAAGCCGGGUGAUAGCUGGUUCUCCCCGAAAUGCCUUUAGGGGCAGCCUCGGGCAAUGCAACCUGCGGAGGUAGAGCACUGAUUGGUCUAGGGCCCUUGCCGGGGUACCGAAGCCUGUCAAACUCCGAAUGCCGCAGGCGUCAGCCCGGGAGUGAGACUGUGGGGGCUAAGCUUCACAGUCGAGAGGGAAACAGCCCAGACCGCCGGAUAAGGCCCCCAAACCGCGCUAAGUCACUAAGGAUGUGGGGUUUCAGAGACAGCCAGGAUGUUGGCUUAGAGGCAGCCAUCAUUUAAACAGUGCGUAACAGCUGACUGGUCGAGAGAUCCCGCGCCGAAAAUGAUCGGGAGUCAAGCGCGGUGCCGAAUCCGCGGAGCGAGAGCUGGUAGGGGAGCGUUGCCUGACGGGCUGAAGCCGCGCGCGGAAGCGGCGGUGGACUUCAGGCAAGUGAUUAUGCGGACAUGAGUAACGAAAAACCGGGUGAGAAUCCCGGUCGCCGGAAUCCCAAGGUUUCCCGGGGCAGGUUCGUCCGCCCGGGGUUAGCCGGUCCUAAGCCGAGGCCGAAGGGCGCAGGCGAUGGACAUCAGGUGAAUAUUCCUGAGCUUCCGGCAAGGGUUUGACCGACGGGGAGCCCGGAAGGACAGGCGGGGGUGCCGAUGGAUGCAUCCUUUACGGCGCGGGGCGCGCGGCAGGCAAAUCCGCCGCGCACGGGCCUUAGCGCCGCGACGAGCGGGAAGCUCGCUUCCCGCAAGCCGCCGACUCCAUGCCGGCCAGAAAAACCCCUAGGGACCGAGCCGGAAACCGUACCUAAACCGACACAGGUGGGAAGGUAUCAGAGUACCGAGGCGCGCGAGAGAAACCUCGUUAAGGAACUCGGCAAUCUAGCCCCGUAACUUCGGAAGAAGGGGUCCCCGGCGCGAGCCGGGGCUCAGUGAACGGGCCCAUGCGACUGUUUAACAAAAACACAGCACUCUGCAAACCCGCAAGGGGACGUAUAGAGUGUGACACGUGACCAAUGCGGAAAGGUCAAGGCGAGGGGUCAGCCGCGAGGCGAAGCUCCGAACCGAAGCCCCCGUGAAUGUCGGCCGUAACUAUAACGGUCCUAAGGUAGCGAAAUUCCUUGUCGGGU